rnacentral:rRNA from 1 species
GUGAACGCUGGCGGCGUGCCUAACACAUGCAAGUCGAACGAUGAUAGAGGGCUUGCUCUCUUGAUUAGUGGCGCACGGGUGAGUAUACCAUAGAUAAUGUACCUCUUAGUUCGGGAUAGCCACUGGAAACGGUGAUUAAUACCGGAUACUCCUUCUUACUCUAAGGUAAGUCGGGAAAGUUUUUUCGCUAAGAGAUCAGUCUAUGUCCUAUCAGCUAGUUGGUGAGGUAAUGGCUCACCAAGGCUAUGACGGGUAUCUGGUUUGAGAGGAUGAUCAGACACACUGGAACUGAGACACGGUCCAGACUCCUACGGGAGGCAGCAGUGAGGAAUAUUGCACAAUGGAGGAAACUCUGAUGCAGCAACGCCGCGUGGAGGAUGACGCAUUUCGGUGUGUAAAGCACUUUUCGGGAGGAUGAGGAAGGACGGUACUCCCGGAAUAAGUCUCGGCUAACUACGU